GUCAAUUGUAGCUUAUUUUUUACAAAGCGCGGCACUGAAAAUGCCGAGACGAAAGAUAAAAACUUUCCAAAGACA
rnacentral:tRNA from 1 species